rnacentral:rRNA from 1 species
AGUGGCGCACGGGUGCGUAACGCGUAUACACCUACCUUAUACAGGGGUAUAGCCCAGGGAAACUUGGAUUAACACCCCAUAGUUUGGCAUCAUUAAAACUACGGUGGUAUAAGAUGGGUAUGCGUCCCAUUAGCUUGUUGGUGUGGUAACGGCACACCAAGGCAACGAUGGGUAGGGGCCCUGAGAGGGGGAUCCCCCACACUGGUACUGAGACACGGACCAGACUCCUACGGGAGGCAGCAGUGAGGAAUAUUGGACAAUGGGCGGGAGCCUGAUCCAGCCAUGCCGCGUGCAGGAAGACUGCCUAUGGGUUGUAAACUGCUUUUAUACGGGAAGAAACCCACCUACGUGUAGGUGGCUGACGGUACCGUAAGAAUAAGGACCGGCUAACUCCGUGCCAGCAGCCGCGGUAAUACGGAGGGUCCGAGCGUUAUCCGGAAUCAUUGGGUUUAAAGGGUCCGCAGGCGGCCAGAUAAGUCAGUGGUGAAAUUCCGUGGCUCAACCACGGAACUGCCAUUGAUACUGUUUGGCUUGAAUCAGUUCGAGGAUGCCGGAAUGUGUGGUGUAGCGGUGAAAUGCAUAGAUAUCACACAGAACACCAUUUGCGAAGGCAGUUGUCAGAACUGUUAUUGACGCUGAAUGACGAAGCGGUGGGUAGCGAACAGAUUAAGAUACCUUGGGG